AACGAACGCUGGCGGCAGGCUUAACACAUGCAAGUCGAGCGCCCCGCAAGGGGAGCGGCAGACGGGUGAGUAACGCGUGGGAAUCUACCCAUCUCUACGGAACAACUCCGGGAAACUGGAGCUAAUACCGUAUACGUCCUUCGGGAGAAAGAUUUAUCGGAGAUGGAUGAGCCCGCGUUGGAUUAGCUAGUUGGUGGGGUAAUGGCCUACCAAGGCGACGAUCCAUAGCUGGUCUGAGAGGAUGAUCAGCUACACUGGGACUGAGACACGGCCCAGACUCCUACGGGAGGCAGCAGUGGGGAAUAUUGGACAAUGGGCGAAAGCCUGAUCCAGCCAUGCCGCGUGAGCGAUGAAGGCCUUAGGGUUGUAAAGCUCUUUCGUGGGGGAAGAUAAUGACUGUACCCCAAGAAGAAGCCCCGGCUAACUCCGUGCCAGCAGCCGCAGUAAUAC
rnacentral:rRNA from 1 species